ACAAGUGAAACAAGCACAGGCGGUAACUAGUUCUGGAUUCUCCCUGAGGUGUAAGAUGUCACGCACCAGUCUGCGGACAUUAUGCUGUUUUACAUUUAUCUGCAUCUUUUGCCAAAGUCAAGACGUGUUUCCUUGUGAUGUUGAGGUGCUGGUCCCAAGAGGCACAACGGUGAAAACUGUCCCCCAGCGACCCGUGACGGUCCGGUGUCCUGUCCAACACUGUGGGGAAUCAGUAAAUGUCACCUGGUGUAAAGUGCUCAACACAAACAAAUGUGAACCCGUUAGUUUCAAAAGAAACUCAGAAAUAAGACAGAGUGACGAGCGUGUUGAGGAAAAACUCAUCUCAUGUUUGACUUUCACACGGAUUUCCAUUCAUGACAGCGGCUUGUAUAGAUGUACUGUAGAAGGCUACGAGUAUGAGUCGAUCAGUCACGCCAUCAACAUCUCAGUGUCAGAUUCAAACCAAGGGGAAAUUAUCUCUGACCAUGAUGCAGACGAGCCACGCGGCCCAGCUGAUGAUGAAGAUGUGCCUUCGCUGUCCUACGUCUUCAUCUGUGUCACCAUCGCUGCUCCGCUUGUCACACUGACGGCGUUAUGGCUCCUGGCAUUAGUUUUAAAUCUUCUGGAAAAGACACCCGUGAACCUCACAGAGGGAAACGCGAUGCAGUAACAUUUGUGGCUGCUCGAGGAAAACCACAGAAAGAACAUUUUUUUUAAUUUUAAACUGGAGAAUGGUAUCGAUCUUGCAGACGUGCCGCACUUUACUUUUAUCAACGCUUUAAAGCCAUCUACAAAGAGAAAAGUCCACUCACAUGAUACCCGGCCUGCCCGCUGAGACCCGUGCGCCGUGUUACACCUACUCUCAAAGUGCUGCAGAAAGGCCACCGCGCUCCCACCACCGCCCCCCCCCGGCGACCGCUGGGAACACGGCGGACGGAAGGCAAGCCACGGCGGACCGUGUCGUUUAUGCCGUUAUCAACAACCAACAGGGCGGGAGAACUAAAUAAAAACGCUGCAUGAAGCUGC